GAACAAUCAAAAUGACCCAGAGAAAAACACUGAAGGGCUUUGUCUGAGCAUCAGGAAAACAAGAAUCAGCUGUCAUCAACAUAUGGUUAUGGUGCCAUGGUAAAGAACUAAAGGCUCUAUGAUGUCAUGCUGCUGACCAGACUGUGGUUGGUGAAGUCCAGCAGCACUGCGGGUCCUUGAAGUGUGGUUGAAGAGCUCUCCUCCCAGCUUUUGGAAGGUUCUGCCCCGCAAAGCAGCACAGAGUCAUUGAUGGAGAGAGGACAUGAGGGACUAAUUGUCUGCUGAGGAGGAGACUUUCUGCAGUUCAAGCCCCAGCUCCACCCCUAAAAAAAGGCUUAUAUGAAGGACAACCUCAUUUCAACUUUGUACCAAUAAAUGACUUUUAAUUGAAAUGAGAGAUUUUUUUCUGAACUGCACCAAUGAAGGGUUUUUCAACCUAAAUUUCAACAAUUACAUUGUUUUUUACCUCCGUUCAAGUUUCUACAACACUAGCUAAACAUUUCAGUGCUCACACCUGUGCUGAAGACACUUCUCAUUUUAACUCAAACGUUUGGCCUUUGAUUUGUAUGUCCAACACCUUAGAAUGAAACACUGACCUAUUAAACUCAUAUAAUAAAUGUG